UAAUCUUGCGACCGUACUCCCCAGGCGGUCUACUUAGUGCGUUAGCUGCGCUACUCACAGUACAAGACCACGAACAGCUAGUAGACAUCGUUUACGGCGUGGACUACCAGGGUAUCUAAUCCUGUUUGCUCCCCACGCUUUCGUGCAUGAGCGUCAGUACAGGUCCAGGGGAUUGCCUUCGCCAUCGGUGUUCCUCCGCAUAUCUACACAUUUCACUGCUACACGCGGAAUUCCAUCCCCCUCUACCGUACUCUAGCUAUGCAGUCACAAAUGCAGGUCCCAGGUUGAGCCCGGGGAUUUCACAUCUGUCUUACAUAACCGCCUGCGCACGCUUUACGCCCAGUAAUUCCAAUUAACGCUCGCACCCUACGUAUUACCGCGGCUGCUGGCACGUAGUUAGCCGGUGCUUAUUCUUACGGUACCGUCAUUAGCUCCCUUUAUUAAAAAGAGCCGUUUCGUUCCGUACAAAAGCAUUUUACAACCCGAAGGCCUUCAUCCUGCACGCGGCAUUGCUGGAUCAGGCUUGCGCCCAUUGUCCAAAAUUCCCCA
rnacentral:rRNA from 1 species